rnacentral:sRNA from 1 species
UUUUGGAAAGUUUGUGCGGCUGAAUUUAAACCCAUAGGCAUAACUCGAAAUUGAAAAAGGCCUUCAUAAAUUUUGAGUUUUGCCUAUGGGUUUAAAUUCAGCCGCACAAACGUUUCUGAUCU